rnacentral:rRNA from 1 species
AUGGCGACCGGCGCACAGGUGAGUAACACGUAUCCAACCUGCCGAUAACUCGGGGAUAGCCUUUCGAAAGAAAGAUUAAUACCCGAUGGUAUAAUCAGACCGCAUGGUUUGAUUAUUAAAGAAUUUCGGUUAUCGAUGGGGAUGCGUUCCAUUAGGCAGUUGGUGAGGUAACGGCUCACCAAACCUUCGAUGGAUAGGGGUUCUGAGAGGAAGGUCCCCCACAUUGGAACUGAGACACGGUCCAA